rnacentral:rRNA from 1 species
CCUACGGGGGGCUGCAGUGGGGAAUAUUGGACAAUGGGCGAAAGCCUGAUCCAGCCAUGCCGCGUGUGUGAAGAAGGCCUUCGGGUUGUAAAGCACUUUCAGUGGGGAAGAAAGCCUUGGGGCUAAUACCCUCGAGGAAGGACAUCACCCACAGAAGAAGCACCGGCUGAACUCCGUGCCAGCAGCCGCGGUAAUACGGAGGGUGCGAGCGUUAAUCGGAAUUACUGGGCGUAAAGCGCGCGUAGGCGGUCUGAUAAGCCGGUUGUGAAAGCCCCGGGCUCAACCUGGGAACGGCAUCCGGAACUGUCAGGCUAGAGUGCAGGAGAGGAAGGUAGAAUUCCCGGUGUAGCGGUGAAAUGCGUAGAGAUCGGGAGGAAUACCAGUGGCGAAGGCGGCCUUCUGGACUGACACUGACGCUGAGGUGCGAAAGCGUGGGUAGCAAACAGGAUUAGAUACCCCAGUAGUC